GCCCGCUCAGAAACUACAAAGGAAUUGACGGGGCCCGCACAAGCGGUGGAGUAUGUGGUUUAAUUCGAUGCAACGCGAAGAACCUUACCUGGUCUUGACAUCCCGGAGACCCUUAGGAAACUAGGGGGUGCUUCCAUCUGGAAGAAUCUGGAGACAGGUGCUGCAUGGCUGUCGUCAGCUCGUGUCGUGAGAUGUUGGGUUAAGUCCCGCAACGAGCGCAACCCUUGCCUUUAGUUGCCAGCAGUUCGGCUGGGCACUCUAAAGGGACUGCCGGUGUUAAACCGGAGGAAGGUGGGGAUGACGUCAAGUCCUCAUGGCCUUUAUGGCCAGGGCUACACACGUACUACAAUGGCCGAUACAAAGGGCAGCGACACUGCGAGGUGAAGCCAAUCCCGUAAAAUCGGUCUCAGUCCGGAUUGGAGUCUGCAACUCGACUCCAUGAAGUUGGAAUCGCUAGUAAUCGUGGAUCAGCAUGCCACGGUGAAUACGUUCCCGGGCCUU
rnacentral:rRNA from 1 species